UAAAGAUUCAUCGCUGAUAGAUAGGCAUGCGUUCCAUUAGGCAGUUGGCGGGGUAACGGCCCACCAAACCGACGAUGGAUAGGGGUUCUGAGAGGAAGGUCCCCCACAUUGGUACUGAGACACGGACCAAACUCCUACGGGAGGCAGCAGUGAGGAAUAUUGGUCAAUGGGCGUAAGCCUGAACCAGCCAAGUCGCGUGAGGGAUGAAGGUUCUAUGGAUCGUAAACCUCUUUUAUAAGGGAAUAAAGUGUGGGACGUGUCCUAUUUUGUAUGUACCUUAUGAAUAAGGAUCGGCUAACUCCGUGCCAGCAGCCGCGGUAAUACGGAGGAUCCGAGCGUUAUCCGGAUUUAUUGGGUUUAAAGGGUGCGUAGGCGGCCUUUUAAGUCAGCGGUGAAAGUCUGUGGCUCAACCAUAGAAUUGCCGUUGAAACUGGGGGGCUUGAGUAUGUUUGAGGCAGGCGGAAUGCGUGGUGUAGCGGUGAAAUGCUUAGAUAUCACGCAGAACCCCGAUUGCGAAGGCAGCCUGCCAAGCCAUGACUGACGCUGAUGCACGAAAGCGUGGGGAUCAAACAGGAUUAGAUACCCUGGUAGUCCACGCAGUAAACGAUGAUCACUAGCUGUUUGCGAUACAGUGUAAGCGGC
rnacentral:rRNA from 1 species